GUGGGGAAUUUUGGACAAUGGGCGCAAGCCUGAUCCAGCAAUGCCGCGUGUGUGAAGAAGGCCUUCGGGUUGUAAAGCACUUUUGUCCGGAAAGAAAUCUCCUGGGUUAAUACCUCGGGGGGAUGACGGUACCGGAAGAAUAAGCACCGGCUAACUACGUGCCAGCAGCCGCGGUAAUACGUAGGGUGCGAGCGUUAAUCGGAAUUACUGGGCGUAAAGCGUGCGCAGGCGGCUAUGCAAGACAGAUGUGAAAUCCCCGGGCUCAACCUGGGAAAUGCAUUUGUGACUGCAUGGCUAGAGUGCGUCAGAGGGAGGUGGAAUUCCGCGUGUAGCAGUGAAAUGCGUAGAGAUGCGGAGGAACACCGAUGGCGAAGGCAGCCUCCUGGGAUGACACUGACGCUCAUGCACGAAAGCGUGGGGAGCAAACAGGAUUAGAAACCCUGGUAGUCC
rnacentral:rRNA from 1 species